rnacentral:rRNA from 2 species
UGCAGUCGACGAACUCUGGUAUUGAUUGGUGCUUGCAUCAUGAUUUACAUUUGAGUGAGUGGCGAACUGGUGAGUAACACGUGGGAAACCUGCCCAGAAGCGGGGGAUAACACCUGGAAACAGAUGCUAAUACCGCAUAACAACUUGGACCGCAUGGUCCGAGCUUGAAAGAUGGCUUCGGCUAUCACUUUUGGAUGGUCCCGCGGCGUAUUAGCUAGAUGGUGGGGUAAUGGCUCACCAUGGCAAUGAUACGUAGCCGACCUGAGAGGGUAAUCGGCCACAUUGGGACUGAGACACGGCCCAAACUCCUACGGGAGGCAGCAGUAGGGAAUCUUCCACAAUGGACGAAAGUCUGAUGGAGCAACGCCGCGUGAGUGAAGAAGGGUUUCGGCUCGUAAAACUCUGUUGUUAAAGAAGAACAUAUCUGAGAGUAACUGUUCAGGUAUUGACGGUAUUUAACCAGAAAGCCACGGCUAACUACGUGCCAGCAGCCGGCGG